rnacentral:rRNA from 1 species
AUUGAACGCUGGCGGAAUGCUUUACACAUGCAAGUCGAACGGCAGCACGGACUUCGGUCUGGUGGCGAGUGGCGAACGGGUGAGUAAUGUAUCGGAACGUGCCCAGUCGUGGGGGAUAACGUAGUGAAAAUUACGCUAAUACCGCAUACGAUCUAUGGAUGAAGGCGGGGGAUCGCAAGACCUCGCGCGAUUGGAGCGGCCGAUAUCAGAUUAGGUAGUUGGUGAGGUAAAGGCCCACCAAGCCAACGAUCUGUAGCUGGUCUGAGAGGACGACCAGCCAAACUGGAACUGAGGCACGGUCCAGACCCCUACGGGAGGCAGCAGUGGGGAAUUUUGGACAAUGGGCGAAAGCCUGAUCCAGCCAUUCCGCGUGCAGGAUGAAGGCCCUCGGGUUGUAAACUGCUUUUGUACAGAACGAAAAGGUUUCUACUAAUACUAGGAGCUCAUGACGGUACUGUAAGAAUAAGCACCGGCUAACUACGUGCCAGCCGCCGCAGUAA